GCAUAUUACCGAAACUGUGGAUGCGUAAGCAUGGUAGGAUAGCGUAAUUAACGCGAUGAAGGAUGACCGUAAGGACAUGUUGGAGCGUUAACUAGUGAGAAUUCCGGUAUGAGUAGCGAAAGAUAGGUGAGAAUCCUAUCCACCGAAUGAGUAAGGUUUCCCCCGGAAGGCUCGUCCGCGGGGGGUUAGUCGGGACCUAAGGCGAGGCUGAAAAGCGUAGUCGAUGGACAACAGGUUGAUAUUCCUGUACCGAUAUUUAAUUGCCGAAGGAAGGACGCAGAAGGAUAACACAGGCCACUAUUGGAUGUGGUUUUAAACAGUUAGUCUUCAUAAGAGUCAAAUGCUUUUAUGUUUAAGGAUAAGCUGUGAAUGUACCAAGUUUACUUGGAAAUUGUGUGAUUUCACGCUGCUGAAAAAAGUUUCGUAGGAAGAAAAUAUUGCCCGUACCGCAAACCGACACAGGUACUCGAGUGGAGAACACUAAGGUGAGCGAGUGAACUAUUGUUAAGGAACUCUGCAAAAUGAGUCCGUAACUUCGGAAGAAGGACUGCUGGUUUUAUACCAGCCGCAGCAAAUAGGCCCAAACAACUGUUUAUCAAAAACACAGGUUUCUGCAAAAUCGUAAGAUGAAGUAUAGGGGCUGACGCCUGCCCAGUGCUGGAAGGUUAAAAGGAGGACUUAGCUUCGGCGAAGGUCUUAAUUGAAGCCCCAGUGAACGGCGGCCGUAACU
rnacentral:rRNA from 1 species